GGUACUUUAGCUUAGUGGUUAAGAGCACACUCAAAUAAAGAGUAUUAAAGAGUAUUAAAGAAGUCGCGGGUUCGAAUCCUGCAAGUGCCA